rnacentral:rRNA from 1 species
GGACUACAAGGGUAUCUAAUCCCGUUCGCUCCCCAUGCUGUCGUGUCUCAGCGUCAGUCGUGUGCCAGGUGGCCGCCUUCGCCUCUGGUGUUCCUCCGGAUCUCUACGCAUUUCACCACUACACCCGGAAUUCCGCCACCCUCUCACACCCUCUAGAUUGACAGUAUCGCACAGCCUCCGCCCGUUGAGCGCGCGGCUUUCAUGCACGACUUACCAAUCCGCCUGCACACCCUUUAAGCCCAGUAAAUCCGGAUAACGCUUGCCUCCUACGUAUUACCGCGGCUGCUGGCAC